UUUAUUCAUCUUCAUCGACGUGAAUUUUAUCAUCAACAAAAAGCAGUUUGAAUUAAUCUGUCUACAUGAUGAAAAGUUUUUUCGUAUUUGGCCUCUUGGCGUUCUAUCAAGCUAAGAUUGUAUCAUCCCAGUUAAAUAUACCAACAUUAAUUGACAUUGGUCAGAAUGCUUUGAACCCCAACCCCAGUGAAACAACUAAAAAUGAUGUUUUGAAAUUUGGCACCAGUAUUAUAAAUACUUUAACGGAAAAAGUUAAUACUUUGCCUCCAAAUAUGAGACAAGAUGGACUGAAUUUAUUAGCCGAUGCUAAAGAAGGAGUGCAGUCUUGUGAGAGUGCCUUCAUGAGGAAUGGUAUUGCUUCAGAGUAUACUGUGUGUUGCAGUACAUAUUUGAAAAAUGGAAUGAUUGCUUUUGGGAAUCUUGCUGCAGAAGGCUAUCGGUCAGGAGCUGAAACACCAUUUAUUUAUUUGUUGAAUUUAUUAAUUUGUAGUUUUUUGUUGAUUUGGAAUUGAAAAAUUUAGAAAUGUAUUAUUCAUUUAGUCUCAAAACAGUUUUUGUAUCAAAUAAAUUUGAUUUUUUUUAUAUAAA